CCUACGGGAGGCAGCAGUGGGGAAUAUUGGACAAUGGGGGGAACCCUGAUCCAGCGACGCCGCGUGAGUGAAGAAGUAUCUCGGUAUGUAAAGCUCUAUCAGCAGGGAAGAAAGAAAGGCCGGUACCUGACUAAGAAGCCCCGGCUAACUACGUGCCAGCAGCCGCGGUAAUACGUAGGGGGCAAGCGUUAUCCGGAUUUACUGGGGGUAAAGGGAGCGUAGACGGCUGAGCAAGUCUGAAGUGAAAGGCGGGGGCCCAACCCCCGGACUGCUUUGGAAACUGUAUAGCUAGAGUGCAGGAGAGGUAAGUGGAAUUCCUAGUGUAGCGGUGGAAUGCGUAGAUAUUAGGAGGAACACCAGUGGCGAAGGCGGCUUACUGGACUGUAACUGACGUUGAGGCUCGAAAGUGUGGGUAUCAAACAGGAUUAGAUACCCGGGUAGUC
rnacentral:rRNA from 1 species